rnacentral:lncRNA from 12 species
AACCUCUCUAAUUCCUUAAGAGAUCCUAUCUGCCUGAUGAAAAUAGAUAUUGGCUUCUGUGUAGCCUGAUUAGAAGAAUAGGAGAGGAUUAGCAAAGAUGCGAGAGAGAAACCGAGCCCUGCUCAUUUACAUGGCACUGCCCGCUGACAGGUGAUGCUAACAGAAGGGAGGAGCUCAGAGGCAAGCUGCCCUGAAUUAAAGCAGGCAUUUAUUUACUCAAGUUAUAGAGAGAUUAAGAGCCAUUUAUUUUGCCGUAUCCAAUUUUUAAAAUCUAUUAAGCACUUUGAUGCUUACUAAUUUUCUUUUCUGUAGCAAACAGCCACGCUGUUUGGAGAGAUGUUUAUUUUCCUUCACAACAACCUACAACUGAUGGUAACUGAAGCCUCCCAGUGUUGCUGUUUAAAGUGUGCUACAAGCUGCAGGAGCUCAGCUAAUAAAGGCCACCGAAUGAAAGAAAGUUAAAUAUGAAUGCAAGAGGGGGUCUAAUGAAGAGCUGGCUUGUACAUCUCAAAGAUGACCUUCUGGAGAUGAACGAGUGGAAAAUCCUUUUUAAAGCAAAUGAGCAGUACCAAAAGUCAGGCAGACCGGUUGGAGGCGGAAAUGGAAGGAAAUGCCCACAUAACCCAUGGAGG